UACCUUUGUACUCGCAAUGGUUUCCGACUUGUACCAUGUGGUCGCAAUAGGAAUUAAAAGGGAAUGCCGUGAGAAUCGGCAACAGUUCCCGCUGCUGUAAGUCUCAAUCUCCUUAAUUGGGGAUAUGAUGUUAAAGUACUCUUUGCCACUGGUUUUCAGAACUGGGAAGGCGCUUUGACAGAGACAAGUCAGAAGACCUGCCUUGCGUAUGGGAUUUAC
rnacentral:ncRNA from 2 species